rnacentral:rRNA from 1 species
UACGGAGGGUGCAAGCGUUAAUCGGAAUUACUGGGCGUAAAGCGCACGCAGGUGGCUGAGUCAGUCGAUUGUGAAAGCCCUGGGCUUAACCUGGGAAUUGCAGUCGAUACUACUCAGCUAGAGUAUGGGAGAGGGUAGUGGAAUUCCCGGUGUAGCGGUGAAAUGCGUAGAUAUCUGGAGGAACACCGGUGGCGAAGGCGGCAUCCUGGACCAACACUGACACUGAGGAGCGAAAGCCAGGGGAGCAAACGGG